rnacentral:rRNA from 1 species
CGCGGCCUAUCAGCUUGUUGGUGAGGUAACGGCUCACCAAGGCAUUGACGGGUAGCCAGUCUGAGAGGACGAAUAGCCACACUGGGACUGAGACACGGCCCAGACUCCUACGGGAGGCAGCAGCAGGGAAUCUUGCACAAUGGACGAAAGUCUGAUGCAGCGACGCCGCGUGGGGGAUGAAGGCCCUAGGGUCGUAAACCCCUUUCAGUGGGGACGAAAAUGACGGUACCCACAGAAGAAGGUCCGGCCAACUACGUGCCAGCAGCCGCGGUAAGACGUAGGGACCGAGCGUUGUCCGGAAUUAUUGGGCGUAAAGAGCUCGUAGGCGGUUGCGUAAGUCGGAUGUGAAAGCUCAGGGCUCAACCCUGAGACGCCAUCCGAUACUGCGCUGACUUGAAUCCAGUAGGGGAGUGUGGAAUUCCUGGUGUAGCGGUGAAAUGCGCAGAUAUCAGGAGGAACACCUAUGGCGAAGGCAGCACUCUGGGCUGGUAUUGACGCCGAGGAGCGAAAGCAUGGGUAGCAAACAGGAUUAGAUACCCUGGUAGUCCAUGCCGUAAACGGUGGGCACUAGGUGUGGGGACUUUCAACGGUUUCCGUGCCGAAGCUAACGCAUUAAGUGCCCCGCCUGGGGAGUACGG